GCCUGGGUGGGUCAUUUGGUUGAGCAUCUGACUUUGGCUCAGGUCAGGUUCUUGGGUUCAAGCCACACCUCAGGCU
rnacentral:tRNA from 1 species